rnacentral:tRNA from 4 species
ACUUUUAAAGGAUAAAAGUCAUCCGCUGGC